CAGGGGAAAUUACCCGACCCGGACUCAAAGCUCACCAAGGCGUUAGGUUUACUGGCCCUUAACAACCCCAACAAAAGUGGAACACUUCAUCAUCUGCUAUAAUGUGGUACAAUAUUAUUCCUUCCUUUUCCCUGGUUGUUGGCGCUCUAGGCCUCCCUGCUAUAUUAAUAGCUGGCCUUCAUAAAUUAGCCUAUGAUAACUUGUACAAGCGAGAGCUAAUCAAUAUGGACCAAAGGUUCUUGUUCUUGAGGGAUGAGCGCCUCACUGGCAACGCUUACAAGGCAGUUGUGAGUCAUUUUGUUGUUUCUUUCAGGUUAAUCUUAU